AUUGAACGCUGGCGGCAGGCUUAACACAUGCAAGUCGAGCGGGGAAAGGUAGCUUGCUACCUGACCUAGCGGCGGACGGGUGAGUAAUGCUUAGGAAUCUGCCUAUUAGAGGGGGACAACAUUCCGAAAGGAAUGCUAAUACCGCACACGCCCUACGGGGGAAAGCAGGGGAUCUUCGGACCUUGCGCUAAUAGAUGAGCCUAAGUCAGAUUAGCUAGUUGGUGGGGUAAAGGCCUACCAAGGCGACGAUCUGUAGCGGGUCUGAGAGGAUGAUCCGCCACACUGGGACUGAGACACGGCCCAGACUCCUACGGGAGGCAGCAGUGGGGAAUAUUGGACAAUGGGCGAAAGCCUGAUCCAGCCAUGCCGCGUGUGUGAAGAGGGCCUUUUGGUUGUAAAGCACUUUAAGCGAGGAGGAGGCUACUUGGAUUAAUACUCUAGGAUAGUGGACGUUACUCGCAGAAUAAGCACCGGCUAACUCUGUGCCAGCCGCCGCUGUAAUAC
rnacentral:rRNA from 1 species